GACGAACGCUGGCGGCGUGCUUAACACAUGCAAGUCGAACGGAAAGGCCCUGCUUUUGUUGGUUGCUCGAGUGGCGAACGGGUGAGUAACACGUGAGUAACCUGCCCUUGACUUUGGGAUAACUUCAGGAAACUGGGGCUAAUAACGGAUAGGAGCUCCUGCUGCAUGGUGGGGGUUGGAAAGUUUCGGCGGUUGUGGCUGGACUCGCGGCUUAUCAGCUUGUUGGUGUGGUAGUGGCUUACCCAGGCUUUGAAGGGUAGCCGGCCUGAGAGGGUUACCGGGCACAUUGGGACUGAGAUACGGCCCAGAAUCCUACGGGAGGCAGCAGUGGGGAAUAUUGCAGAAUGGGCGGAAGCCUGAUGCAGAAAUGCCGCGUGCGGGAUGACGGCCUUCGGGUUGUAAACCACUUUCGCCUGUGACGAAGAGUGAGUGACGGUAAUGGGUAAAGAAGCACCGGCUAACUACGUG
rnacentral:rRNA from 1 species